GAUCAUGGCUCAGGAUGAACGCUAGCGACAGGCCUAACACAUGCAAGUCGAGGGGCAGCGGAGAGGUAGCAAUACCUUUGCCGGCGACCGGCGCACGGGUGAGUAACACGUAUGCAAUCCACCUGUAACAGGGGGAUAACCCGGAGAAAUCCGGACUAAUACUCCAUAAUAUGGGCGUUCCGCAUGGAGAGCUCACUUAAAGAGAGCAAUUUUGGUUACAGACGAGCAUGCGCU
rnacentral:rRNA from 1 species